rnacentral:rRNA from 1 species
GGCGAACGGGUGAGUAACGCGUGGGUAACCUGCCCCUGAAUCUGGAAUAACUUCGCGAAAGCGAGGCUAAUACCGGAUAUUGUCCCAGGGACCUCGGUCUCUGUGAUGAAAGAUGACCUCUUCACGAAAGUUGUCGUUCAGGGAGGGGCCCGCGUACCAUUAGCUAGUUGGUAGGGUAAUGGCCUACCAAGGCGAUGAUGGUUAGCUGGUCUGAGAGGAUGACCAGCCACACUGGCACUGAAACACGGGCCAGACUCCUACGGGAGGCAGCAGUGAGGAAUUUUGCGCAAUAGGGGAAACCCUGACGCAGCAACGCCGCGUGAGUGAAGAAGGCCCUCGGGUCGUAAAGCUCUGUCAAGUGGGAAAAAAGCUUGCUGGUGAAUAGCCAGUAAGACUGAUGGUACCAUUGAAGGAAGCACCGGCUAACUCCGUGCCAGCAGCCGCGGUAAUACGGAGGGUGCAAGCGUUGUUCGGAAUUACUGGGCGUAAAGGGCGUGUAGGCGGUGUGGUAAGUCAGAUGUG